UACAGAGGUCUCAAGCGUUGUUCGGAUUCAUUGGGCGUAAAGGGUGUGUAGGUGGCGCCGUAAGUCGGGUGUGAAAUUUCGGAGCUUAACUCCGAAACUGCAUUCGAUACUGCGGUGCUUGAGGACUGGAGAGGAAACUGGAAUUCAUGGUGUAGCAGUGAAAUGCGCAGAUAUCAGGAGGAACACCGGUGGCGAAGGCGGGUCUCUGGGCAACAACUGACGCUGAGGAGCGAAAGCGUGGGGAGCGAACAGG
rnacentral:rRNA from 1 species